rnacentral:tRNA from 1 species
GAGACGCUAGUAAAAUUAUUACACUUCCUUGUCGAGGCAGAAUAGUGGGUUAGACCCCCGCGCGUUUCA